UUCCGGUUGAUCCUGCGGAGGGCAUUGCUAUUGGGGUUCGACUAAGGAAUGCUAGUCGACCGCCGUUCCUUCGGGAACGGAGGGGCGAACGGCUCAGUAACACGUGGCUAACCUGCCCUCGCGUGGGAAAUAACCUCGGGAAACUGAGGCUAAUGUCCCAUAGGGGAGGAUGUCUGGAAUGACGCCUCCCUGAAAGCUCCGGCGCGCGAGGAUGGGGCUGCGGCCGAUUAGGUAGUAGGUGGUGUAACGGACCACCUAGCCGACGAUCGGUACGGGCCGUGGGAGCGGGAGCCCGGAGACGGGUACUGAGACAAGGACCUGGGCCCUAAGGGGCGCAGCAUUCGCGAAAACUCCGCAACGCGCGAAAGCGUGACGGGGGAACCCCAAGUGCCAACACAACGUGUUGGCUUUUCUGGAGUGUAAAAAGCUCCAGGAAUAAGGGCUGGGUAAGACCGGUGCCAGCCGCCGCGGUAACACCGGCAGCCCGAGUGAUGACCGCGUUUAUUGGGCUUAAAGCGUCCGUAGCCGGCCUGUUAAGUCCCCGGUCAAAUCCGGCGGCUUAACCGUCGGUUAUCUGGGGAUACUGGCAGGCUUGAGGCCGGGAGAGGUCAGAGGUACUCCUGGGGUAGGGGUAAAAUCCGAUAAUCCCAGGGGGACCACCAGUGGCGAAGGCGUCUGACUGGAACGGGCCUGACGGUGAGGGACGAAACCCUGGGGAGCGAUCCGGAUUAGAUACCCGGGUAGUCCAGGGCGUAAACGAUGUGGGCUGGGUGUGGGCCAAUCGGAAGGAUUGGUCUGUGCCGAAGCGAAAGCGAUAAGCCCACCGCCUGGGGAGUACGGUCGCAAGGCUGAAAUCCUGGCAGUUGAGGUUGAGCUUGGCUGCCGGGACGGUGAACUUAAAGGAAUUGGCGGGGGGGCACCACAAGGGGUGGAGCCUGCGGUUUAAUUGGAUCAACGCCGGAAAU
rnacentral:rRNA from 1 species